rnacentral:rRNA from 1 species
AUUGAACGCUGGCGGCAUGCUUUACACAUGCAAGUCGAACGGUAACAGGCCGCAAGGUGCUGACGAGUGGCGAACGGGUGAGUAAUGCAUCGGAACGUGCCCAGUCGUGGGGGAUAACUACUCGAAAGAGUAGCUAAUACCGCAUACGAUCUAUGGAUGAAAGCGGGGGACCGUAAGGCCUCGCGCGAUUGGAGCGGCCGAUGUCAGAUUAGGUAGUUGGUGGGGUAAAGGCGCACCAAGCCAACGAUCUGUAGCUGGGCUGAGAGGACAAGCAGCCACACUGGGACUGAGACACGGCCCAGACUCCUACGGGAGGCAGCAGUGGGGAAUUUUGGACAAUGGGCGCAAGCCUGAUCCAGCAAUGCCGCGUGCAGGAAGAAGGCCUUCGGGUUGUAAACUGCUUUUGUACGGAACGAAACGGCUCUGGUUAAUACCCGGGGCUAAUGACGGUACCGGAAGAAUAAGCACCGGCUAACUACGUG